rnacentral:rRNA from 1 species
GACGAACGCUGGCGGCGUGCUUAACGCAUACAAGUCGAACGGAAAGGCCCUGCUUUUGUGGGGUGCUCGAGUGGCGAACGGGUGAGUAACACGUGAGUAACCUGCCCUUGACUUUGGGAUAACUUCAGGAAACUGGGGCUAAUACCGGAUAGGAGCUCCUGCUGCAUGGUGGGGGUUGGAAAGUUUCGGCGGUUGGGGAUGGACUCGCGGCUUAUCAGCUUGUUGGUGGGGUAGUGGCUUACCAAGGCUUUGACGGGUAGCCGGCCUGAGAGGGUGACCGGCCAAAUUGGGACUGAGAUACGGCCCAGACUCCUACGGGAGGCAGCAGUGGGGAAUAUUGCACAAUGGGCGGAAGCCUGAUGCAGCAACGCCGCGUGCGGGAUGACGGCCUUCGGGUUGUAAACCGCUUUCGCCUGUGACGAAGCGUGAGUGACGGUAAUGGGUAAAGAAGCACCGGCUAACUACGUG